AUUGAACGCUGGCGGCAGGCCUAACACAUGCAAGUCGAGCGGAUGAAGGGAGCUUGCUCCUGGAUUCAGCGGCGGACGGGUGAGUAAUGCCUAGGAAUCUGCCUGGUAGUGGGGGAUAACGUCCGGAAACGGGCGCUAAUACCGCAUACGUCCUGAGGGAGAAAGUGGGGGAUCUUCGGACCUCACGCUAUCAGAUGAGCCUAGGUCGGAUUAGCUAGUUGGUGGGGUAAAGGCCUACCAAGGCGACGAUCCGUAACUGGUCUGAGAGGAUGAUCAGUCACACUGGAAGUGAGACACGGCCCAGACUCCUAGGGGAGGCAGCGGUGGGGAAUAUUGGACAAUGGGGGAAAGCCUGAUCCAGCCGUGCCGCGUGUGUGAAGAAGGUCUUCGGAUGGGAAAGCACUUUAAGGUGGGAGGAAGGGCAGUAAGUUAAUACCUGGCUGUUUUGACGUUACCAACAGAAUAAGCACCGGCUAACUUCGUG
rnacentral:rRNA from 1 species